rnacentral:rRNA from 1 species
AUGCCGGGCAUGCGAGUGCGUCCUGUGCGCGGCCGGUGUGGCACGCGGAUCGUGCGCGGCCGGUUAUUGGAGAUGGUGCGGCGUGGCGUUUAUCGUCGGAAAACCUUGUGUGUAGUGCGCUCCUCUCCUUCUUCCACCUUCGCCCGAGAGAGUGUGUGUGAGAGAGAGAGCGCGCGCUAUCCGGGUUCGUCGCAACACAAAAUGGAAGGCGGCGGAGUCCAGAUCGUGUCUCGGCGCAUGGUCAAGCCAGAUUAUCAAACGACCUCCCGGCCGCCGGAGCCCGAGACCGUCCACCUUACGCCGUGGGACCUGCGGCGGAUAACGGUGGACUACAUCCAGAAGGGAGUCGUCCUGCCCAAUCCUCCUGCCGGCGCUCACGCCGUCGAACACCUCGCGUCGUCGUUCACGCGCGCCGUGGGCCGCUUCUACCCCCUCGCCGGCCGCUUCACCGUCGCGCCGGGGGCCAACGACGACGGGGCGCCGUCACCUCCUCGGCCGAGCCUGACAAUCUCGCUCCGCUGCAGCGACGAUGGCGCCGAGUUCGUCCACGCCGUGGCGCCCGGGGUGGCUGUCGCCGACAUCACCGGUCCGCUUCACGUCAUCCCACGGGUGGUGUGGUCCUUCUUCCCUCUCAGCGGGAUGCUCGGCGCCGACGCCGUCGUCGACCCCAGCCGGCCGGUCCUGGCCGCGCAGGUCACGGAGCUCGCCGAUGGCCUCGUGGUCGCCAUGUCGCUCAACCACGGCGCCGCCGACGGGACCACGUUCUGGGAUCUGUUCAACGCCUGGUCGGCUAUCAGCCGGAGCCGCGGCGCCGCCGACGGGGACAUCUUAAUGGUGCCGACGCCCGAGAGAUGGUUCCUUGAGGGCUGCACCGUGCCGAUCCCUCUCCCCUUUGCCAGGGUGGAGGACAUCGUCAGGCGGUUCGAGUACCCGCCGGUGCAGGAAUGCUCACUCCGUUUCUCGUCGGAGAGCGUGAAGAUGCUGAAGGCAAAAGCCAACGCCGAGAUGGCCACCGGCACAGCCACCAUCUCCUCCUUGCAGGCCGUGCUUGCACACCUAUGGCGAGCAAUGUGUCGGGCCCGUGGGCUCGCGCCGGACCAGGAGACGACGUGCGCGCUCCCCGUCGGAUGCCGGACACGCGUGAAGGGCAUGCCGCAGGGCUACCUGGGCAACGCUGUGGCGGGCGCCGUCGGCAGGACCGCCGUCGGCGAGAUCCUGGGCGACGGCCGGCUGGGAUGGGCGGCGUGGCUUCUGAACCGGGCCGUGGCUGCGGCCGACGAGGCGAGCGUGAGGGACGAGCUCGCGGCGUGGCCUGCGAAUCCCAGCUUCAAGUACGCUGCCGAGUGCAGCGGGGAUCCUCCUGCGGCGAUGGUGGUCACCGGCUCGCCGCGGUUCGACGUGUACGGCAACGACUUCGGGUGGGGCAGGCCGGUGGCCGUUCGGAGCGGCGCUGGGAACAAGCUGGACGGGAUGGUCACGGUCUACGAGGGCGGCGGAGGGACAGGGAGCAUGGAGCUGGAGGUGUGCGUCGCCCCUGCUGCGCUCGCCAGGCUCGUCGCCGACGAAGAGCUGAUGGACGCGGCGGUAGGAGGGUCGACGUACUGGUACUGA